GUGCUGUAAAUAUUCUGCCAUAGGA
rnacentral:piRNA from 1 species